UUAUGGCUCAGAACGAACGCUGGCGGCGCGUCUUAAGCAUGCAAGUCGAACGGCAAGAGGUAGCAAUACCUCCUAGAGUGGCGGACUGGUGAGUAACACGUGGGUGACAUACCCUUCAGAUGGGGAUAGCUAUUAGAAAUAGUAGAUAAUACCGAAUACGAGCACAGGGGUUAGAGAUCUGUGAGGAAAGGAGCUAAGGCUCCGCUGAAGGAAUGGCCUGCGGCCCAUUAGCUAGUUGGUGAGGUAAGAGCCCACCAAGGCGAUGAUGGGUAUCCGGCCUUAGAGGGUGAACGGACACAUUGGGACUGAGAUACGGCCCAGACUCCUACGGGAGGCAGCAGCUAAGAAUAUUCCGCAAUGGACGAAAGUCUGACGGAGCGACGCCGCGUGGAUGAAGAAGGCCGGAAGGUUGUAAAAUCCUUUUGAAACUGAAGAAUAAGCGUUGUAGGGAAUGACAGCGUGGUGACAGUAGGUUUUGAAUAAGCAACGGCUAAUUACGUGCCAGCCGCUGC
rnacentral:rRNA from 1 species